GACGAACGCUGGCGGCGUGCUUAACACAUGCAAGUCGAACGAUGAUGCCCAGCUUGCUGGGUGGAUUAGUGGCGAACGGGUGAGUAACACGUGAGUAACCUGCCCCUGACUCUGGGAUAAGCGUUGGAAACGACGUCUAAUACUGGAUAUGAUCGCCGGCCGCAUGGUCUGGUGGUGGAAAGAUUUUUUGGUUGGGGAUGGACUCGCGGCCUAUCAGCUUGUUGGUGAGGUAAUGGCUCACCAAGGCGACGACGGGUAGCCGGCCUGAGAGGGUGACCGGCCACACUGGGACUGAGACACGGCCCAGACUCCUACGGGAGGCAGCAGUGGGGAAUAUUGCACAAUGGGCGAAAGCCUGAUGCAGCAACGCCGCGUGAGGGAUGACGGCCUUCGGGUUGUAAACCUCUUUUAGUAGGGAAGAAGCGAAAGUGACGGUACCUGCAGAAAAAGCACCGGCUAACUACGUGCCAGCAGCCGCCGCCGUAA
rnacentral:rRNA from 1 species